rnacentral:rRNA from 1 species
UACGUAGGGGGCUAGCGUUGCUCGGAAUCACUGGGCGUAAAGCGCACGUAGGCGGCUUUCUAAGUCAGAGGUGAAAUCCCGGAGCUCAACUCCGGAACUGCCUUUGAUACUGGAAAGCUUGAGUUCGGGAGAGGUGAGUGGAACUGCGAGUGUAGAGGUGAAAUUCGUAGAUAUUCGCAAGAACACCAGUGGCGAAGGCGGCUCACUGGCCCGAUACUGACGCUGAGGUGCGAAAGCGUGGGGAGCAAACAGG